UGAGGCGCUGUAAUUCCCGGUAAAAGUUGCCGGAGAAAGGAGCUGCGCCUCUGUGUUUCUGACCGCCGGGAGUGGUUAUGUGGCUUCCAGGAUCACCGCCGGAGCUCCAGGAUGAGUUUCUACCACUUGAGACCCUGCUGCCGUCGCUGGAAAAGUUUGUCGUUGUCGUGAUCGGAAUUUGUCGCCGCUGCCGCUUGAGGUGGCUGCUGAGUUGCCGCUGAACCGGCUCGAAGACCGUCGCUGUUUCGGUUCAGCCGUUCCUUCUUCAGUUCGGUAAGCGUUUCGAUUUGAAAGCCCUUUCGUUACUGUUCUGUAAUCUCACGCUGAGGUUUAUGGCGUUAAUUGCUAUAAGAUUGAGUUUUGGUUGUUGUAUGUUGCGAUUAGAGUUGUUGAGACUGUUGCGAAAGUGGCUUGGAGCUGAGGU